ACAUGUGGAUAAGAUUGGUCGAAAUUUAGGACUUCAAAUCCGGUGUGCGGUCGAGAGGUCGCAGGUAGGUUCGACUCCUAUACGCUUCC
rnacentral:tRNA from 1 species